GAAAUGCGAUAAGUAGUGUGAAUUGCAGAAUUCAGUGAAUCAUCGAAUCUUUGAACGCAGAUUGCGCCCUUUGGUAUUCCUUAGGGCAUGCCUGUUCGAGCGUCAUCUAAACCUUCAAGCCCUGCUUGGUGUUGGGUGCCUGUCCCGCCUCCGCGCGCGGACUCACCUCAAAUCCAUUGGCGGCCCCCGCGUCGGCCACGAGCGCAGCAGAAACGCGAACUCGUGAGCCCGUCCGGGCGGCUCCCAGAAGCUACACCCACCCAGUUUGACCUCGGAUCAGGUAGGGAUACCCGCUGAACUUAAGC
rnacentral:misc_RNA from 1 species